GUCAUCGGGGAGCUGGACCCCUACCAGCAGCCCUGAGGAGGGAAAGAAUUCCCGAUUAACCCCGUCACCUGUGAGCUGGGCCAGGGCAAAGGUCUGGCUUUUUCUCUUGCUAAAGGAUUCCCAUGGUCAUUAGGCAUUCGCAGGGCUCAGCAGCAUUUCUAGGAAGCCCUCCCAGACUAGAGAAAUGCCUUCUGCACCCGCUGCCCUUUGGGGACAUACGGAGCAGGGAGUAGGUGUACACAUCCUUGGGACGGCAGGAGAGGAGGUCUGAGGAAGGCAGAGGUGGCAUGAGGCUGGGGGAAGCUGCAGGGGGAGGAUGGUGGUCUUCUAGUCAACCGUAGGGGUGGAACAGGCUUGUGUGUCACAUCGAGCGAGGGGGGUUGGCCUAGUUUAGACUUGAAGGGCUGGCUGAGAGAUCGGUUUCUCUGGGCUGUCACUAAUAAUGAUCUCAUUCCUUCCUUAUGAGCUCCUUAUAUCCAGAUGAGAAACAACACUGAGACUCAGCCGGGUUACGUAAAGCACCCAAAGCUGCGCAGCAGGCAGAUGGCCAGCUGAGACCUAAAUUUAGGCCUCACUGACUCCUAGCUUGGUCAUGUAAGCACCAGUUGGAUCAGAUACACCAGGGAAACGGAGGCCCAGAGCAGGGAUGUGAUCUGCCCGAUUGUGCAGAAUUCAGAGCCCAGCUGGAACCUGCAUGUCCUGACCCCCAUCCAGUGCCCACCUUCCUACUCUACGCUGCCUCUCGGGUGACACAUACAGCAGCAAGUGAGCCCUGCAGACAGAGACAUUCUAGAACCCAGGCCUGGGACCAACGCUCAGGAGCCAUACUCUCAGCUAGAUUGCCUUCAGCCUGCCAGGAGGAGGAGCAGCCCAGCCCAGACUGAAAGCCUCCAAGGAGGAAGUUCUACCGGCUUCUCCAUGCCUCCAAACCCACUGUACCUUGUGCAUUCCAUCUGGAAUUUUCUUCUGUUGAAAGGAAGGUGCUGGGUGGGAGGAGGAGGGAGAGGAUCAGGAAAAAUAACUAAUAAAUACUAGGCUUAAUAUCUGA